ensembl:misc_RNA
UUUUUUUAUAUAUUCCGUUUGACUUACUGCUCCAGGAGCUUUAGCUGCAGGCAACAUAAUGAGACUAUCUAAGCCAUUGUGACAUGUGCCUAGCAGAAUUUUCCCUUUGUAUGGG